rnacentral:lncRNA from 1 species
AUGAGAUGGUUGUGAACCCAAAUUGAAGGUGAAAAUCUUAAGCACCAUCAUCCCCUAGGUACAACACCUCGAGAUUUCGUCCAUCUAAUAUGGAGGCAUUUUGGAUGGGUUGCCAAAGAUGAGUUGGAUAUUGUAAGGAACUCAAAUACCUCUUUAACUCAAACAGGUAACAGAUAAAGAAGAUUCUCAUUCAGUGUAUUGCAAUGCUGGGAACAUAACAAUGUAGACCUAUAAUUCAGGGGACACUUCAACAUAAAAAUAUAAAAAGACAUAACAAUCACUUGAAAAUUCAACACUUCAAAUUUAAAUUACCUUUUCAUCAAUAUGGUCCACAGUAAUGCCAUGACAAGUCAGCCAGAAAAGUUGAAUGAAUAUUAUUAUUAUUAUUAGU